rnacentral:misc_RNA from 1 species
CACUGCUGUACUUGGAUAUGUACUUGCCGACGCUUAUCUAAUACCAAUUGUCAUGCUGCUCCCCAGUUAAAAUUCUAAAGUUACGAGUCAAAUUUCAGCAAUCCGAGGCACAUUUCCCAUGCAACGACGACUACAAUGAGGCUGUCGUUGCUGUUUAUCGCUGCACUCUGCCUUCAGCUACCCAAAGAUACUUUUGCAAUAAUAUCGAAAAUGACGGAAGUAUUUUCGAAUUUCUUAAAUGAAACCGGUGCGAAGCUAAAGAAGGGCAGUUCCUCUCUGUACAACAUUGGCACACUUAUUGAGAUUUAUGCGGACGGUAAGCUGAUAGAGCCAAUCAAUCUCAAUUUAAGCGAGAUAGAGCCGAAGAAUUAGCUAUUUUCAACAAUUUAUUUGAGCGGAAUGGGUAGAUUCGUGACAGCCAUACAGCAUGAUGGCUGUGAAUCUGCAAGCGAGGAAAUAUACUGAUAUGGAUAUGCCAAAAUCUCUAGCUCAGCUUGUCCCAAUGUAGAGUCAGCAACAAGGAUGUUCAGAGAUGUAGAAACGGUAGAAAAACGUUUGCCCAAAUAACAGUCCGCGUCAAAUCAGAACUUGAUCGGAAAUCCUCUCCGACUGUAUGCCGUCCAACAACAUAACAUAUGGGAGCAUGAAGCAUUGCGAGAGAAUACUUUACGGUAUAAUAUGACCAACGACUAAUGAUCUGCGUUGACCAAACUGACUGGAUUACAAAUAGUGUCUCUAGGUGUCGUGGCGGCUACGCUUUUUCACAAUGCAAUAGCCACUAGCUGGCCUCAUGUCCUGCAGCUUAAGAAUCUUUUACACAAUACCCUGACAAUAUAUGAAAACAAACAAGUCGGUCCACCAACGAAUUCAGAGCUGAGAAAAUCUGUGAAAAUCUUAUCGAAAGCUGAGCAGAGUCCCCAAAAGGUGGCACUGUUACAAGUCCUUGGGUAGCUCCUAAGUCUCUGUGUUCAAGGGGUCAGUCCUGGAGGACCCGGAAUUGGUGCUCCGGGCGGACAAAACUAUCCCUUUACACUGCCGUCCGGAACCAAUUGCCCAGCACCAGCAGUAGUCUACUGUGAGGGAGGUGUCUACUGUCCUCCAGGCCGUCUCCAAAAUGGAAAGAUUGACGUAAAUGAAAGAAAGUCCCAUAUGGAAGGAAGAGUUCUAUGUAUAUUAAUACCUGGCGAAUGCGCUGUGGGAUCGAUUUUCACAGAUGUCGCUCUCUAAAUUUACUACAAUUUGUAUUAUGCACAUCGGCUUUGGCGAAUGAUCUCUGUCCUUGUCACUUAUGGGAAAUUUGUGCACCGAAUCAAUGUUAUUUGAUGCCGGAAACUUCCGGGAACAGAAGGAGAACGGGAAAUUGAACAGUUACAGCAGCGCUUUAAUGGAAUGCUUCGAGCGCCAACCCACACUUGACCAAAUGCCAGCGGUACGAGUACAUCGUAUAGUCGUUGCCGCCGAAACUCUUUUGGCGACUCGUCGCCCCGCAAUCAACGAAGCGUUACCAAGCCAAGUCUCGGCCGCAAUGAGUGUACCACCACCAACAACAACAGCAGACGAUCGACCGUCGACAACCUAGAGACACUGUCUGGCCACAAAGAGCAUAGCGAAAUAGUACUGCCUUUUCCUCCAUCUCUGGCUACCCUUUGCUGCUGGGGCUGCGGUCUUUUGUCUAAA